AUUGAACGCUGGCGGAAUGCUUUACACAUGCAAGUCGAACGGCAGCACGGACUUCGGUCUGGUGGCGAGUGGCGAACGGGUGAGUAAUGUAUCGGAACGUGCCCAGUCGUGGGGGAUAACGUAGUGAAAAUUACGCUAAUACCGCAUACGAUCUAUGGAUGAAAGAGGGGGAUCGCAAGACCUCGCGCGAUUGGAGCGGCCGAUAUCAGAUUAGGUAGUUGGUGGGGUAAAGGCCCACCAAGCCAACGAUCUGUAGCUGGUCUGAGAGGACGACCAGCCACACUGGAACUGCGACACGGUCCAGGCUCCUACGGGAGGCAGCAGUGGGGAAUGUUGGACAAUGGGCGAAAGCCUGAUCCAGCCAUUCCGCGUGCAGGAUGAAGGCCCUCGGGUUGUAAACUGCUUUUGUACAGAACGAAAAGGUUUCUACUAAUACUAGGAGCUCAUGACGGUACUGUAAGAAUAAGCACCGGCUAACUACGUGCCAGCCGCCGCCGUAA
rnacentral:rRNA from 1 species